rnacentral:rRNA from 1 species
AACGAACGCUGGCGGCAUGCCUAACACAUGCAAGUCGAACGAGACCUUCGGGUCUAGUGGUGCAUGGGUGCGUAACGCGUGGGAACCUGCCCAUAGGUUCGGCAGAACUCCCCGAAUGGGGUGCUAAUACCGGCUCAAGUCUUCGAACCAACGAUGUAUCGCCUUUGGAUGGGCUUGCGUGGGAUUAGCUAGUUGGUAGGGUAAAAGCGUAUCACGGCGUCGAUCCAUAGCUGGGUUGAGAGGCAGCGAAGCGACACUGGGCGUGAGACACGGCCGAGACUCCUACGGGAGGCAGCAGUGGGGAAUAUUGGACAAUCGGCGGAGGGCUGAUCCAGCAAGGCCGCGUGAGUGAUGAAAGCCUUAGGGUUGGAAAGCACGUUUACCCGUGAUUAUAAUGACAUUACCGGGAGAAUAAGCUCCGGCUAACUCCGUG